GGUGGCUCAGUGGUAGAGCACUUACCUUCCAUGCAUGAGGCCCUGGGUUCAAUUCCUCAGUACCA
rfam:Dipodomys ordii contig_3064, whole genome shotgun sequence.